rnacentral:rRNA from 1 species
AUUGAACGCUGGCGGCAGGCCUAAUACAUGCAAGUCGAGCGAGCGGCGGACGGGUGAGUAAUGUCUGGGUAACCGCCCGCUGGAGCGGGAUAACUACUGGAAAAGGUAGCUUAUACCGCAAAUUAUUAGCUCUGACAAGUUGGGAUUAGCUAGUGGGUGGGGUAACGGCUCACCAGGGUGACGAUCCCUAGCUGGUCUGAGAGGAUGACCAGCCACACUGGAACUGAGACACGGUCCAGACUCCUACGGGAGGCAGCAGUGGGGAAUAUUGCACAAUGGGCGCAAGCCUGAUGCAGCAAUGCCGCGUGUGUGAAGAAGGCCUUCGGGUUGUAAAGCACUUUCAGCAGGGAGGCGUUACCCGCAGAGAAAGCACCGGCUAACUCCGUGCCAGCAGCCGCGGUAAUAC